rnacentral:rRNA from 1 species
AGUGAACGCUGGCGGUAGGCCUAACACAUGCAAGUCGAACGGCAGCACAGGAGAGCUUGCUCUCUGGGUGGCGAGUGGCGGACGGGUGAGGAAUACAUCGGAAUCUACUCUGUCGUGGGGGAUAACGUAGGGAAACUUACGCUAAUACCGCAUACGACCUACGGGUGAAAGCAGGGGAUCUUCGGACCUUGCGCGAUUGAAUAAGCCGAUGUCGGAUUAGCUAGUUGGCGGGGUAAAGGCCCACCAAGGCGACGAUCCGUAGCUGGUCUGAGAGGAGGAUCAGCCAAACUGGAACUGGGACACGGUCCAGACUCCUACGGGGGGCAGCAGUGGGGAAUAUUGGACAAUGGGCGCAAGCCUGAUCCAGCCAUACCGCGUGGGUGAAGAAGGCCUUCGGGUUGUAAAGCCCUUUUGUUGGGAAAGAAAUCCAGCUGGCUAAUACCCGGUUGGGAUGACGGUACCCAAAGAAUAAGCACCGGCUAACUUCGUGCCAGCCGCCGCGGUAA